GCCUGGGUGGCUUUGUUGGUUGAGCAUCUGACUUCGGUUCAGGUCAUGAUCUCACGGCUGGUGGGUUCAAGCCCCAUAUCGGGCU
rnacentral:tRNA from 1 species